UGGGGAAUAUUGGGCAAUGGGCGAAAGCCUGACCCAGCAACGCCGCGUGAAGGAAGAAGGCUUUCGGGUUGUAAACUUCUUUUACCAGGGACGAAGGACGUGACGGUACCUGGAGAAAAAGCUCCGGCUAACUACGUGCCAGCAGCCGCGGUAAUACGUAGGGAGCGAGCGUUGUCCGGAUUUACUGGGUGUAAAGGGCGUGUAGGCGGAGACGCAAGUCAGGAGUGAAAUCCCCGGGCUCAACCCGGGAACUGCUUUUGAAACUGCGUCCCUUGAGUAUCGGAGAGGCAGGCGGAAUUCCUAGUGUAGCGGUGAAAUGCGUAGAUAUUAGGAGGAACACCAGUGGCGAAGGCGGCCUGCUGGACGACAACUGACGCUGAGGCGCGAAAGCGUGGGGAGCAAACAGG
rnacentral:rRNA from 1 species